rnacentral:rRNA from 1 species
UACGAAGGGGGCUAGCGUUGCUCGGAAUCACUGGGCGUAAAGCGCACGUAGGCGGAUUGUUAAGUCAGGGGUGAAAUCCUGGAGCUCAACUCCAGAACUGCCUUUGAUACUGGCGAUCUUGAGCCUCGGGAGAGGUGAGUGGAACUGCGAGUGUAGAGGUGAAAUUCGUAGAUAUUCGCAAGAACACCAGUGGCGAAGGCGGCUCACUGGCCCGGUACUGACGCUGAGGUGCGAAAGCGUGGGGAGCAAACAGG